UACGUAGGGUGCGAGCGUUGUCCGGAAUUAUUGGGCGUAAAGAGCUCGUAGGCGGUCUGUCGCGUCGAUCGUGAAAACUUGGGGCUUAACCCUGAGCUUGCGGUCGAUACGGGCAUGACUGGAGUUCGGCAGGGGAGACUGGAAUUCCUGGUGUAGCGGUGAAAUGCGCAGAUAUCAGGAGGAACACCGGUGGCGAAGGCGGGUUUCUGGGACGGUACUGACGCUGAGACGCGAAAGCGUGGGGAGCGAACAGG
rnacentral:rRNA from 1 species